AGUGAACGCUGGCGGUAGGCCUAACACAUGCAAGUCGAGCGGAAGCACAGUAAGAGCUUGUUCUUACUGGUGGCGACGGGCGGGUGGGUGAGGAAUACAUCGCAAUCUACUUUUUCGUGGGUGAUAACGUGGGGACUCAUACGCUACUAGCGCAUACGACCUACGGGUGGGAUCAGGGGAUCUUCGGACCUUUGCUGAUUCAAUGAGCCGAUGUCGGAUUAGCUAGUUGGCGGGGUAAAGGCCCACCAAGGCGACGCUCCGUAGCUGGUCUGAGAGGAUGAUCAGCCACACUGGAACUGAGACACGGUCCAGACUCCUACGGGAGGCAGCAGUGGGGAAUAUUGGACAAUGGGCGCAAGCCUGAUCCAGCCAUGCCGCGUGGGUGAAGAAGGCCUUCGGGUUGUAAAGCCCUUUUGUUGGGAAAGAAAAGCAGCAGGUUAAUACCCCGCUGUUCUGACGGUACCCAAAGAAUAAGCACCGGCUAACUUCGUG
rnacentral:rRNA from 1 species